rnacentral:lncRNA from 1 species
CACUGGAAAAUAGUUUGGCAGUUUCUUAAAAAGCUAAACAUGCAUUUAACUUAUGACCCAACAAUUCCACUCUUGGGCAUUUAUCCCAGAGAAAUGAAAACCUAUGCUCACACAAUGUAUGUCUGUGUGCACAAAUAUUCAUAACAGCUUUAUUUGUAAUAGCCAAAAACUGGAAACAACUCAAAUGCCCUUCAGUGGGUGAACUGCUAAACAAACUAUGGUACACCUGUACCAUGGGACACAAUGCAGCAAUAACAAGGAAUGAACUAUCGAUAAUCUCAACAACUUGGAUGGAUCUCAUGGGAAUCAUGCUGAAUGGAGAAAGCCAAGCCAAAUGGUUACAGAUUCAUGUACAUAGCAUUUUUGAAUUAUAAAAUUAUAGACAGAGAACAGAUUAGAAGCUGCAGCUAUAAAGAGGUAGCACAAGGGAGCCAUGUGGUAGUGAAACAGUUCCAGUGGUGGUUAUACAAAGCUAAACAUGACAAAAUUGCAUAGGCACGCAUACACACACACACACACACACACACACACACACACGUACAAAUAAAACUGAUGACAUCUUAAUAAGCUCUGCAGUUUUCCCAAUGCAUUUUUCCUGGUUUUGAUACUGAACUAUAGCUAUGCAAGAUGUUACCACUGAAGGACACUAGACACUUGGGUCCUCCCAGUAUAUUAUUAUUGUAAUUUCUUGUGAACUUAUAAUUAUUUCAAAAUGAAAGUUAAAAAAUAAGUACAGGUAAACAAAAAGGAUUUUGCAAUGGGAAUUAAAAAGAGAUGUUUAGUGAGUUUAGAGAAAUAUUUGGUGUUACGGACAAUCCCAGAAAAACACUAGGCCAAGAAGGAAGGGUGGUCAAGUGUGUCUAAUUCAGCAAGGUGGUGGCAAUUUAGGUGGAAUGGUGGAGAUGAAAACCAGUAGCUUGAACAGUGACUUAUCUAAGAGGUUAAAUUUUUAACUCCAGCUAUACUUUCCCCAACAAACCUCUUAAGAGAGGUAAUGUUUUGUCUGCAUCUCGAGUAUUCUGGUUCUGAGAGCUUGAACAUAAGAGCUUACAAUUUAUUGAAAGCUUACUUUGAUCCAGGACUAAUUUAAGCAUUUUAUAAGUAUUAAUUCAUUUCAUUUACAAGCCUAUAAUGAUCUUCCCCAUUUUACAGAUGAGGAAACUGAGGCACAGGGAGAUUUUUUUUUAUACAUGUAUAUAUCUCUCACUAGCGCAUGUGAGAGAGCUGGGACUAGGGCAUAGACAACCUGGCUCCACUUAUUCAUUUGUUCAACAAACAUUUGUGGAGCACCUACCAAGGGCCAGAUUCCAGGGCUCUCUGCCACUGUUCUGCCUCUAACUUCUACUUUAGUAACAACAGACACUUCACCGAUCAGCUGCUUUAUCAGGGUUUGAGUUUAGAGUGAAUCAAGGGACCAAAUGAGAGAGAACAGUUGGCAAGAGAGUGAGACAUGGAAAUUUUAAGGAUAAAAAAAAUGGCAAGAGGAGUUCAAGGCUGUAGUGAGCUAUGAUCAUGCCACUACACUCCAGCCUGGGUAACACAGCAAGACCCCAUCUCUAAAAAAAGUAAAAAAUAGGCUGAGCACAGUGGCCCAUGCCUGUAAUCCCAGCACUUUAGGAGGCCAAGGCAGGUGGAUCAUCUUAGGUCAGGAGUUUGAGACCAGCCUGGCCAAUAUUGUGAAACCCCAUCUCUACUAAAAAUACAAAAAUUAGCUGGGCAUGGUGAUGGGUGCCUGUAAUCCUAGCUACUUGGGAGGCUGAGGCAUGAGAAUCGCUUGAACCCAGGAGGCGGAGGUUGCAGUGAGCCCAGAUUGUGCCAUUGCAUUCCAGCCUGGGCGACAAAGUGAAACUCUGUCUUAAAAAAAAAAAAAGUUAAAAAAAAAAACAAAAACGGCAAGAGAAUAAACAAAUGGAGGCCAUGUGAUCAGGAUUUUCUGUAAAAAUAUCUCCUGAAGAGCUCUACAUUGGCUAUGUGGGCCAUCUCAAACCUGCAGAAGAGAAUGCAGGGCCGAGUGGAAAGGACGUGAGUGGGAUGGGAGAUGAGAUUCCAUGUUGCCUGCAAGUUCUGUCUUGUUCACCUGGAGAUAGCACCCACGCCACCAUGUUACUGGGUUUGUGCCUUCCAUUCCUUCCUUUGGAUUUUUCUCUUUUUCCGUCUAGCAAAUUUAUUUCAUUUCACUCCUCUCAAUAUUAUCUUCAUGUUUAUUUUGAGUAACACAGUUUUUUUUCCUGAAAUGCCUUCCACUGCUGUCCGAAACAGAGAGCAAAUAUGAGCGAUCGGAAUAUUUUAAAAGGACAAAUAACGUCAUUGUUGAGGAAUGGCCGAGCCUGCCAUGCUGAGGAUGAGUGGGUAAGCAACUGGAAUGGUAGGCAGGGGAGGGGGCGGUGAGAAUAACACAAAGCCCCAUGGAAGUGAGUUGAGGGGAACUCCUUUACAACAAUUAACAUGUAGAUUUGCUUCACUAACAAGUUCACAAUAGAUUUAAUUAAGCUGGAAAUCAAUUUCACCCCAUACCCAUAUCAUACUUUCAAACUCUCCCAACAACUCUACUGUCAAGUCUGAUCACUUCUUCACAAAUGCAAAAAAG